AGUGAACGCUGGCGGUAGGCCUAACACAUGCAAGUCGAACGGCAGCACAGUAAUCGCGUGCCCGUACGGGGGGCGAGUGGCGGACGCGUGACGAAUACAGCGGAACCUCCUCUUUCGUGGGGGACAACUCAGCCAAACGCACGCUAACACCGCAUACAACCUACGCGUGAAAGCACUGGAUCUUCCGACCUUGCGCGAUGGAAUGAGCCGGUGUCGGAUCAGCUAGUUGGCGGGGGAAAGGCCCACCAAGGCGACGAUCCGUAGCUGGUCUGAGAGGAUGAUCGGACACACUGGGAGUGAGAGACGGUCCAGACUCCGACGGGGGGCAGCCGUGGGGAAUAUUGGGCAAUGGGAGAGAGCCUGAUCCAGCAAUACCGCGUGGGUGGAGAAGGCCUUGGGGUUGUGAAGCCGUUUUGUUGGGAGAGAAGAGCAGCAGGUUAAUGCGAAGAUGUUAUGACGGUACCCGGAGAAUAAGCACCGGCUAACUUCGUG
rnacentral:rRNA from 1 species